CCAGCAGUCAACGCCAAAGCAAGGGCACACAGUGAAAUCACUGGGUGGCUCAAAGACACUGAUGAAAGCCAAGUUAAUGAAGAACAAGAAUUAAAGAAAAAAAAAAAAAAGGCAGGGAGAGGUUAAGAGGAGAUCCCAUAUGUCUUAAAAACACUAACGAUUUGAAAGGCAAAUUUCCUUUUGAAAACAGGAAGCAAUUUUAAAACAGCCACCAACACUGGAGAGAAAGGCAGAGCCCUGGCAAUGGCCUCCAACAGACAGAGAGGACAGGGUGGUCCGACCCAGCCUCAGCAGCAGCCAGGAAACUGGGAGGUGCCAGGUGCCAGGAAGGGCACCAGCCUGCAUGGGGACUGGAGGGAGCAACAAACAAAACCAGGGUUCUUGGCAGAAGGAUUCAGCAAAGAGCAUAGGAAGUGCAACAGACUCCAGCUGGAUGUGCUGCUCCCAAGUAAGACAGGAAAAGCACAGAUGCUGCUUCACUGCCCUGAGUCAGUAGGUUAAAAAUCACACUUGUGCAAUUUGCCACUGGGACAAAGGUGACCAAUGUCUGCUCAUCCUUCCUUGCUUCUCCUGCCACCCGAUGCCCUCCUGUCCCCCCAGAUCCUGCUGUUGUUACAGAACUUCCUCAGGAGAAGAUGCCUGCAAUGAUUAACACGUAACAAUGCUGGGAAGAGACGCAGCACAGAUCAGCAAGUAACACAAAUUCAGGUUCUUAAGAAAACAGGACAGGGAAAAAAUGCUACAUGUGGUUACUCUGAGCUUAAGCACAUUCUCAAACAUGAAAGAUUUUUACAGCUUGUAACUACAUUUGCAAAACUAGUCUACGUUCCGUCCUACUGAAUGCAAGUAUCAGCCUGCACUGGAUUAGAAUCCCAUUUCAGAGACCACUUGAACUACUGGUGUUUCAAUACUGCAGAUACUACAUUGUGAGACAGAUCCAGGCCUGACACCUGCUGUUGUGUCAGCAAACAUCAAUAAGCUAUGACACCUACGGUUACAACCUUCAAAUAUCAAAACACUGAAAGUCAACUUCAGAGGCUGAUUAUUGUUCUUGACAACAGUUAUGGCUCUGUUGUGCUUUCCUAACUGAAAAACAAGAACUCUGUAAAAGCUCAGGUCACGGAAAAAGGUGACUACAGGAUGGGAAAUGACGAUGUAAGAGCAAGGGAGGGGGGGAAAAAACCAAAGACUAGGAUCAAGAACAGUAUUCAUAUAUAUAAAAAUUUAUUUAGGUGAAGUCACAAACAUUUUUUUUUUAAUCGAUUUACAAACACUUCAUGUUAAGCAUAUUAUUGAAACUAUCAAGAAAGUUAAAGGAGAGCAGAUAACGGCAGUUGGUUUUUUUUUCCUGAAACAACUAAAGGCAAACCCUUACCAUCAAGCGCGUUACUGGAUCAUAGUAUUACCUUGAUCAUACUCCCUAGUAUGCGAGGGGAGAGGAAAAGAAAACAAAAUACGGAGAUGUAAAACAAUUAAACCAUGAACCAAUGAAUGAUUUUCAUGAACGUCAGACCACAAAAGUCUGGUCUGACGUUCAAGAUGCUAACUAUUCUAUGAGGAUAAAACAAGAACAAUAAUUUAGGUCAGCUAUUAAAUCCGUUCAAGAAUUUUGCAAUGCAUACAUGGGCUAUAAAUUACUUCUGGAAAUGACAGCAAUGGUUAAAGAACUUUGUUCAGAGCAGAACGAAGAGGUGGUACUGAGCCUCACAGAAUAAUUUUGUCAACAACCUGAGUUAUACCAAAUGUAGGAUACUGCGUCAAGUCAAAUAUACAUUUCUGUUGCAGAUAUUGUCAAUGAAAUGCUAAAAUUAACAGGUGUAACAAGACAAGGUAGGAUUUAUUUUUUAAGCAAAUAUAGUACACAGAUUUUGUUUUUUUUUUUGAAUGUCCCUGGAAUUGAAGGGCAUCACUCAUUUUGGUGUUUUGCUAUAAACUUGAUGCUGACAUCCAAAACGGAUGUGCGUGUAAAACAGUAAGAUUUAAAAGAACUACCUUGAUAUAAAAUGAUGAAUAUUUUUUCAUAUGUGCCCAUGUUGUUUUGUGCAUGAAUAAUUAGUGUGUGUUUCAAAUGAAGGACAAAAUGUUUCCCGCAUUUGGCUUUGGCAGGCAGAAUGCUACGUGUGAAAACAUAACAAAAAUAAAGAUCCAUUAUUGGCCUCACAUCUGAGGAAGCUCUAGAGCAUAACAUUCAUAAUAUUUUCCUCCUAAGUCCUCUUUAAACUUGUGUUUAGUAAAUUAGCUUCAGAUCUUUCUUUCCAGUGCUGUUCUAGUGUAUGGAAAAAGAGCUUUGGCCACCAUCUGCUCUUCUCCAAAUAUUGACCAGUGCACUUCAACAUGUGCAUGGUGCAUCUUGAUACAAUUUAUGGACCGGGCUGUGCUGUGGAGCCCCCCAGGCAAUGUGAAUACAGC
ensembl:lncRNA